rnacentral:rRNA from 1 species
CUGCCUGUAAGACUGGGAUAACUCCGGGAAACCGGGGCUAAUACCGGAUGGUUGUCUGAACCGCAUGGUUCAGACAUAAAAGGUGGCUUCGGCUACCACUUACAGAUGGACCCGCGGCGCAUUAGCUAGUUGGUGAGGUAACGGCUCACCAAGGCGACGAUGCGUAGCCGACCUGAGAGGGUGAUCGGCCACACUGGGACUGAGACACGGCCCAGACUCCUACGGGAGGCAGCAGUAGGGAAUCUUCCGCAAUGGACGAAAGUCUGACGGAGCAACGCCGCGUGAGUGAUGAAGGUUUUCGGAUCGUAAAGCUCUGUUGUUAGGGAAGAACAAGUGCCGUUCAAAUAGGGCGGCACCUUGACGGUACCUAACCAGAAAGCCACGGCUAACUACGUGCCAGCAGCCGCGGUAAUACGUAGGUGGCAAGCGUGUCCGGAAUUAUUGGGCGUAAAGGGCUCGCAGGCGGUUUCUUAAGUCUGAUGUGAAAGCCCCCGGCUCAACCGGGGAGGGUCAUUGGAAACUGGGGAACUUGAGUGCAGAAGAGGAGAGUGGAAUUCCACGUGUAGCGGUGAAAUGCGUAGAGAUGUGGAGGAACACCAGUGGCGAAGGCGACUCUCUGGUCUGUAACUGACGCUGAGGAGCGAAAGCGUGGGGAGCGAACAGGAUUAGAUACCCUGGUAGUCCACGCCGUAAACGAUGAGUGCUAAGUGUUAGGGGGUUUCCGCCCCUUAGUGCUGCAGCUAACGCAUUAAGCACUCCGCCUGGGGAGUACGGUCGCAAGACUGAAACUCAAAGGAAUUGACGGGGGCCCGCACAAGCGGUGGAGCAUGUGGUUUAAUUCGAAGCAACGCGAAGAACCUUACCAGGUCUUGACAUCCUCUGACAAUCCUAGAGAUAGGACGUCCCCUUCGGGGGCAGAGUGACAGGUGGUGCAUGGUUGUCGUCAGCUCGUGUCGUGAGAUGUUGGGUUAAGUCCCGCAACGAGCGCAACCCUUGAUCUUAGUUGCCAGCAUUCAGUUGGGCACUCUAAGGUGACUGCCGGUGACAAACCGGAGGAAGGUGGGGAUGACGUCAAAUCAUCAUGCCCCUUAUGACCUGGGCUACACACGUGCUACAAUGGACAGAACAAAGGGCAGCGAAACCGCGAGGUUAAGCCAAUCCCACAAAUCUGUUCUCAGUUCGGAUCGCAGUCUGCAACUCGACUGCGUGAAGCUGGAAUCGCUAG